UAAUGAUGAAAGGUGUGUGUAUGUCUGUUUGUAAAGAUGGGGUGAAAUCUAUGCAGCACGCAGUCCAUCAGUUAACCAAAUCGGAGCUUGGAAUCCAUCAGUUAAUAUUUUACAUUUAAAGAGCCUGCUGCCUUUAACACAGCAACAUACCGCAGAACAGAGCUGAGGCUCUUAAAGGAUCAACAGUAACCCCAUCCCCCACGAUUUUCCAGGCUGUUGGAUUCCAGCAUCUUUCCCUGCUCUCUCAUCUCAGCCUGCAUUCCUGUAACAGAAACCAGCUGGCAAAUCUUAAUCUGAGAAUUCCGCACAAUUGAAGCCAAGGGAAAGCCAAAGAACAAAACUCACAGGACAAAAGAGUUGAACAUGACCAGGUUUAAUACCACUGCAAAGCAUCUGGGAAAGAUUUGACAUUUUCACCCUGAGCAGUUGUUCUUUCAAGAAGAGAGAGCAGCCAGGAUUCGGUGCCAAGGAUAUUUGGCAGGAAAGAUUUGCCAGAAAAGGCACCAGUGGCAUUGCACUUUUCAGCAGCAAAUAAGUUUCCUUUUUCUGCCCUUUAAUGAUUGCCAUCAGUCUUGACAGAGUCAGGUAUUUUUCCACAUGAACAUGCAUGCUUUUUUGCUUUCUCUCCAUCUGAAGUCCAGGACUGGUACAUUUGAGAAACGGCAGAAGAGAAAAGUUAAAAGCAUCAAGAUUUCUGCAAGCAAGAUGAAAGACAGAGUAAUGUAAAAUGUACAAGGGCAGAAUAUGGAAUUGCAUGGCAGUAUUUGCAUUUCAAGUUGCAAGCUAAGUAUUGGGUUAUGUUGGAAGAAUUGUCAAUUUAGAACAGGGCUUCCUGAGGCCAGUCACCAGAGAGCAAACAAGAUGGUGAGCAAUGAGAAUUCAGAAAAUCCCACCCUCUCUCUUUCAUUGGUCAAUUCAAGGAGCGAAAAACACCUGCCCUUUUUACAUCUGUCUGUCACAGCAAACUUUUUGCUCUAAUUGGCCGAAUCUGUUGAGAAGAAAGCUUCAAAUGCAGAAACACAGGAAAUUUUUACAGCAACUCAAAUUCACCCCAUAUUAAAACAGCUCUUAUAGUCUUUUAAAAGCUGGUGGGGAGAUAUUCAGACUGGAAUUCUUCUGUCAUUUCCCCUCCAUUUUAGAAUUCAUUAAGAACAGGAGAUGGCAGUGUUUAGUUCAGAUCUCCCAGCAUUUUUUUAUCAAAAUGCUAACUCAUCAGUUUUCAUAAUUACAAUAGUGUAGAGAGGCAAGUAAAAUAAAGGCCAGCCAUACUCACACCAAGAUUCAUUGAAGGACUGUGAAGAAAACAAUUUGCUUCCUUUUGAGACCUAAAAAAUUAAUAUGAGGAGGAGAUGUAUUCUUUUAAUUAGCAUUUUUAAAUCACUAAGAAGGGCAAAUCAUGAUCACUUUAAACACUCAGAAAUCAGGCCCUAUUCAAAAUGGAAGAGCCUAGCUUUCCUUUUUCAUCUAAUUGUGCCUAAUGCUGAGGAAAAUAAUAUUUUAGGUCCAGCCUGAAGCCAAGCAAAGGAGCAGCUGAUUCAUAGCUCACACUUACCUCAUGCUGUCCCAGACAAUGUAUGAUAGCACUUAUACAUAUUUUAUGAAAGAUAACUGCCAUACUCUAUAAACAUACAAUAAAACAAAAUGUAUGUAAAUAUAUUCAAUGACUGGCCAUAAAUCAUAUACUGUAUUCUAAAAAUGUUAAAUGCAAAUAGAAAUGUUUUGGGUAUGUCUUUUAGCGCAAUUCAGAGCUGCCACUGCUAACAAGCAAAGAGAAGCAAGCACCACAGACAAGGAAUAAGGAAAAAAAUGAUGGCGCAGCUGGGGAAAUUUAUAUUCUGGAGUGAAGUAUCUCAGUUGUUAGUCACCCAUAUAGACCAGAGUUUCUCAACUUUGGCAACUGUAAGAUGUGUGAACUUCAACUCCCAGAAUUCCGCAGCAAGCAUGCUGUCUAGGAAAUUUAAGGACUUGAAGUUUACAUAUCUUCCAGCUACAAAGGAUAAGAAACACUGAUGUAGAGGACUAUUCCUUUCAAGAUGAAGGAUACAAUUGGCACUGUUCACAUCAUGUCCCACCCCCACCCAUCCCCAAACAGUUCUGUGCUUUAUUAUUGUUACACUCUAAUUUGCAAAUAUGAUUUCUGCACACUAUUUCCUGUUUGAAAUUUAUUUAAAACAAGUACCAUCACUCCAACAGGAAUAAAACCAGAGUUUACUUUUGCUUUCAAAUAUUUUUUUCUCAGAAAUAAAAAGUUUUGUUGCAGGAAGUGCAAUUAUUCUUUUAAAGGAAUAAUUGUUGGACAGAAUGAUGUAACAGCCUUGUAGUCUGUGCCAGAUUGGAGUUGGUUCAGGUGCAAAAGCUGGAGACUUGUUUCUCCUAGGAUCCAGAUCUGUUCUUCUGGGGAAGAUUGAGGGAUUUUACUGGACUUUGCUAUAACUAUGCCACUGGGCAGUCAUGCCCCAUUGUCAACUUUCCAGCCUCAAAACUCUUGAAUCCGUGCAAAUAAAAUACAACCUUCCAUUCCAAACUCACCCUAUCCCUCAGCAUCUCAAUAUCAGUGGAAGACAUUGUUGCUUUAAGAACAAUAUCACUCUGAUUAGCAUCUAUAUAUAGAUGGGGUGAGCUGAUAAAUUUCUCUUCCAACAGCAAAGGAUCUUGGUUCACUCUGAUAACCCUAGGCUCCAGGACUUUUUUUCUAUACAUAUGUGCUACAAAACACUAGGCAUAGAAGAGGGAAAAUAAAUAUAGCAACAGAAAAAGUUGCCCAAAAGAACUUAUCCUUAGGAGAUGAGCAAAAUAAUACAAAGAUAAAGGUAUCUUUGCUGGAAAGCAUGUAGGAACAGGUGGACAUAACACACGAGACAAAUCCAGCCUUAGAGAUUUACAUUUUGAAUCCCUAUUCCAGAUCCAUGUCUACCUAUUUUUGGAAGCAGAAUGUGUGGACACAAAGAGCAAGAUUUUUCCCCCUUUUGCAGCACCAAGACCACUCUGUGGAAUAGGGCUGCUAUUUAACAUGUUUAAGGUUCAUUUAAGGCUAUUUUAGAUGAAAGUUUUCUGUAAUACCAUAUGUAUUGCCUUCAGUAUUUUUAUAGAAAACCUAGAAAACCUAUUCUAAUUUGUAGUGAUAAUACUAGAAUUCUGAGCCAGGAUGAGGAAGCAUAGUAUGUUUGUUGAAUGCUUUGGGUUGGGGUACCCUACAUGCAGCGAAUAGCCUACAGGUUUAGUUAAUACAUACCUCAAAUAUUGUGCUUGGUGCAGUACAAUAACAGAAUCUGCAGAGAAAAGAUGCAAUUGCAAUACAUGAGCAAUAGAUGGCAGCAAAAUCAGACAACUAGCACUUCCUUAAGAAACAAGGCAGUGAAACUGCUGAGCAGGAUAUCUGAAUCCUUUCCAACCCUUUUACCAGCAGAGGCCAGAGAAGGCAUCUGUAUUUUCCUUUGGGAGAUGUUGGGGUGUGUGCAUUUUCUCCUCAUGAAACAACCAGGGUGUGGCAUACAGCCUGUCUCUGUGUAUACCAUGGUAUGUAGACACCAUUAAAGUGUGUACUGUGAGGUUGCUUCCAAGUGUAUGAAUUAUAGGAAGUAUAAUCAGGGUGUGUAAAUAUGAAUUUUGUCUGUAUUCUUCUGUUUUCACUAGUGCUGUAUCUAUGUGUGCAAGUAUGUGUAAAGGACAAACUGCAUUUGCUCGACUCUGUGUGCUCUAACAGAUGGGAAAGGGGCUUAGAAAUUAACAAGCUGCUCUCCAACUGCUUCUCCCAUAGAGAAGUAUUGAACUUUUUUUUUCCAAUUUUCUCUGUAGUCUCCAGUCAGAUCUGCUCUGUCUUUGAUCUUGAUUGUCCUUUUACCAGCUUUGCUUAAAUUUGGUGCUGUUCUCAUUUCACAGUUAUUACUGGGAUGAAGAGAAGUUAAACUCCUCCAACAUCAUUUCUUUCCAACUUCCCAUUGGGUUGGAAAUAAUUUUAAAGGUGCAAAGGAAAUAAAAUGACACUCUCAAAUCAGGCUCAAUAUUUAUUGAUUAUAUACAUGCAUCCUGCUGAGCAGUGUGGCCUUCCAGUCCCAAUGUAUUCUAGUUGCAGCCCUGGAAUUCCCCCACCUCAUCCCAAUGCUAAAAUAGUCCCUGCUCGCUUUCUUUCUCACCAGCUAAGGUCAACUAAGUACAAUCAAGCUGAGGCUGAACAAAUUAGGCCAGUAAUUAAUAGCUUGAUCAUACUCCAUGAUUGGUUGAUGAAUGGCACAACUGUCUAAAAUAGAUGAUGACAUUUGCUCUGAAAGUGUUCAGGUUUUUUAUUUCUUUUCCUCAAGGCUCUUUUCUGGAGAGAUUUAACUCAUUAAACCUGUUAGAAUUCUUUUUGGAAGCUUCUCUCUUAGCAAGAAACGCAGCCCUUUUAUUGUGUGUACCCAUGUGAACUUAGAGAAGCACAAAAAGUUGUCCAUAGAAAGAUUGCAUGCAUGUUAAACAUGCUUGUCUAUCACUCUUAGAUCAGAAAAUAUGAAUACAAAUUGGCUAAUAUUGAUAACAUGCUUGUCCUCUCACAUUUAUAAUACCACUCAAACCUGUCACUACUCAGCAGAAAGUUUAUAUUUGUUUUUAAAUAUUAGCCUCAUGACCAAUAGCUUUUGUUGAGGAAUAUAAUACUGAAGGGUUUAUUGGUUUUCAGAAGCUUCAUUGUGGCCUAAUAAUCAACAUUUAGUAAUUUAUGAGCAUACAAACAAAUGGUGUUCAUUGGUUUUGCUGGUACAUUUUACAUUAAGAUUAUAGCCUGACAAGCUAUAGGGCAGGAUGGCAGAUAUGACUAAGUUCAAAUUAUUAGUAAUAUUUAGUAUGUCCAAGUAUUAUGUUUAUGGAUAGGAAAAUUCUAUUUGUAUUAUUUUUACAUUAUUAUUUAAUAAAUAAUUUCUAUCCAUUUGAUUGAUUUUCUCAUAAUAAACUAAGUUUACACAAUAAAAAUACAAUUCCAAUUCAAAAACAGUUGUAUAGCCUUCCUAAAAGUCAGUAAGGAAGAUGUAGGCAGAGGCAUUCUAGACACAUAAUGUCAUAGAAAAAGCCAUGUCUUGUCAUGGGAAUAUAAUUCAGUGAUGUAAUGCCUGCCUUAUUUGAUUCAAUGUAUCCACAGCAAUGGCUCUGAUGUUAUCUGGCUAAUGUUAUUAUUUUCAUGCUUUCUUACAUCUGUCACAAAAAUGUAAAUCAUGGUAUUUGCACACAUCUCUCUCCUCCCCUCUCCCCCCCCUCUCUCUCACACACCCCAUGGAUACAUGUUUUCACUUUUAUCUUUUGUAAUACUAAUCCUUAUUUAUUUAAUAGCAGAAGAAGACGAGCAAGCAAGGAAGAAGUCAAGUCAAAUUUUCUAAUGUUAUUUUGAACAAUAUGAGCUCUCAGAUUUUUAUCCUUAAAAAAAGGUUGAUAUUUGUUUCAUCAACUAUUAAAAAAUUAAAAUAUUGUGCACCACCUAAAGUCUCACAAUGGAGGUAAUCAACCAAUAUUUUAAAUAAAUAAAUAAAAACUGUGCUGGACUAAAUUACAAA